rnacentral:rRNA from 1 species
UACGGGGGGUGCGAACGUUGUUCGGAAUUACUGGGCGUAAAGGGCUCGUAGGCGGCCAACUAAGUCGGACGUGAAAUCCCUCGGCUUAACCGGGGAACUGCGUCUGAUACUGGAUGGCUUGAAUCCGGGAGAGGGAUGCGGAAUUCCAGGUGUAGCGGUGAAAUGCGUAGAUAUCUGGAGGAACACCGGUGGCGAAGGCGGCAUCCUGGACCGGCAUUGACGCUGAGGAGCGAAAGCCAGGGGAGCAAACGGG